rnacentral:rRNA from 1 species
UACGAAGGGGGCUAGCGUUGCUCGGAAUUACUGGGCGUAAAGCGCACGUAGGCGGAUUGUUAAGUCGGGGGUGAAAUCCUGGAGCUCAACUCCAGAACUGCCUUCGAUACUGGCGAUCUCGAGUUCGGGAGAGGUGAGUGGAACUGCGAGUGUAGAGGUGAAAUUCGUAGAUAUUCGCAAGAACACCAGUGGCGAGGGCGGCUCACUGGCCCGAUACUGACGCUGAGGUGCGAAAGCGUGGGGAGCGAACAGG